UUUCAUCCUAGUUGGGGAGACAGGCAGAUGGAUGUGGGCCAGCUCAUCCCACAAGGAACUUUUGCGUAAGAUGCUGACUACAGCAAUGAAGAGGAGGAACAGAUUGCUAAGAGAGCACACAGCAGGAAAGGUGACUUGUCUGCAGGAGUAGCUGAGGUGCCCUUGGCUUUGCUGCUUAACCUCCCAGAGCCUCACCUGCGGAAUGGGCACACUGCCAUUGGCUUCAUGAGGCUGCUGUGAGACGUGGGGAAACUAAUGGAUGUGGAAAAGCACUUUGACAAGUGUUGGCUGCUCCCAUAACUCUCCUGGGUCCCUCGUAAUCCGGCACCAGCUCCAUGUUCUGCCCUCUCUUCUGGAGAAACCGAUUUAACAGUCCAACCUUGCCUGGACAAACAGAGGAAAACCCAUUCCAAAAACAACUGGCCUGAAAACCAUUUUCUUGGGAGGGAGGUGGAGAAUUGACGUGCAUCCAGAUCCUUCGGCGGGGUCUUAUUGCUGAAAGCAGCGUCCUGCCGUGGCCUGGAAAGAGCACGCGUGGGGGACAAGUUCCGAUCUCCCUUCCAUGUGUGCUGCAUACCGAACACCACUCUGCCCUCUGGCCACAGCUUCUCAAAUGCUCUGUCUACAGAGACAUAUUUAAAAGACUCAGGAAAUGAACUCACAUUUUUUUCCCUCCCCCUCCUUUUCCAGAACAGUGCAGCCUUCCUGGAAGAAAGCAAACAAAACAAGUGUGACUGUUUAAAAAAUUAUUGGAAAACCCGUUCCGAACACUCCAGCUUUGAGUGGCUCUCCUGGGCGGAGGACGCGUCACCUGCUGCUUCCUUCUCCCCUCACCCGGAGGGUGUAUCUGUGGGGAAGGGGCGGGGCAGCCGUGUGGCCUUGAAGGAGGAGGGAGCUGAAGGGCCUUAGCAGGCCCCAUGACCAGGCCCCCUCCCACACCCGUGUGCACCUGAAACGCACAGACAGAUGGGAGCCCACGUGUGUGCCCCUGAAAUCAGAGAAUUCUCUCCCUCCCAAGUGCAGCCGACUUCUGCCCUGCGUGCGGCCAUCUGGUCAGAGUGCUUUUCCUUUGAUGAGGGAAAAACCUUUGCUGUGUUUCAACUGGAACGCUGCCUCCCAAUUAAGGUGACAGCAGAUGCCGAAUGGCCCCGUCUUUGCAGGAAGAGGAUGCUCAGCCAGGCUCUAAAGCGCCGGCUCUGUCCGGGAGGGAGCCGGCCUCGUAUUGAUUGUGCUUUGGCAUGCCGAGCAGGCUCCGACUCGAAGGGACUCGGCCAGGAAAGCCACCGUCAGGUGUUUACCGGCUGGGCUGGCUCCGCGCUCAGGUUUUCCAUUGUCAGGCGGUGACAGCGAUGCGUUACAGACACCCUCAGGAGACGUUCCUCUGCUUUCAUAACAAUGAAGGAUUUUUUUUUUCUGACUCAUCUUCAGAAGACUCCCCCCCUUCUGCGUUUGAAAAUAAAUAUAAUUAGUAACAGGCAGACAUACUGUAUAUAGCCAGCCCUUCCUAUCCGGAGAGUUAUAAUUAAAUGUACAUGCUGUCUGU